GAGGACAAUAAUAAGGAUCGUUUAUCAAGGUUAAAAUAAUUAUUUUACUAAAUUAAGACAUUAACAUAUCCAUGUGUUCGACAUAACCUCACUUCUUAAAUCUCUUAAAUUAGUCGGUUGAGAAGCGGAUCGAGAAUGAUUGUUUGAAUAUAAGUCGUACAAAAUUGGAAUGAAACGAUGAACAAUAUACAGAUCUUUAGACAGGCUCAAAUAAUGUAUGUUUAGGAGCAACUUGAAGAUAAUGGAGAUUUAUCUUCUUAAUAUAAAACCUCUAAAAUUGGGAACAGUAUGUCAUAUAUGCAUGAACUUGAUUGAUGUAUAAUGAACUGAAGAUAUAAUGAAUUCAAUCAGGUUAAAAAAAAUGUAUCUGCAAAAGCGACUCGAAGACGAUUUAGAUUUGUCUCCUGAAUAUAAAACUUCCAAGAAGUACAUCAUAUAUGAAUAUCCUGUAUCCUCGCAUUUGAUGUAUUGAACUGGCGAUAGAAUGAAAUCAGUCAGUGUUAAAAAUGUAUGUGUAAAAGCGACUUUAAGAUGAUGGAGAUUUGUACACUGAACAUAAAACUUCCAAAAUUUGGGGCAGUAUGUCAUAUGUGCAUAAUCUGUAUCCUGGCAUUUGAUGCAAUGAACUGGCGAUAGAAUGAAAUAAUGAAAAAUAGGCAGGCUGUUUGAUGUAUAAGGAAGUGGCGAUAGAAUACUUAUGCAACACUUCACACUUCACGCCCCAAAAAUAGAAUUACGUUCAUUAGAUAUACAACAAUUUUCAUUAAAUAUACUGUUAUUAAUAUGUUAAGAUUGAAUAAUUUGUAAAAAGUUUUCUAGUAUAGUUCAUGUUAAAAUUUUAU